AGCUCCAAUAGCAUAUAUUAAAGUUGUUGCAGUUAAAAAGCUCGUAGUUGGAUUUCUGGCAUGAUGCGCCUGGCCCGCCGUGAUUACGCGUGUGUGUGCUAGUGCGCGUCUGCCAUCCAUUGGCAGAAUAUGUCUACCCUUAAUUGGGCCGGAUAUGUGAUGUCAAUCUUUUACUUUGAAAAAAUUAGAGUGUUUAAAGCAGGCAUUUGCUAUGAAUACAUUAGCAUGGAAUAAUAAUCUAGGACUUCGGUUCUAUUUUGUUGGUUUCUAGAUCUGGAGUAAUGAUUGAUAGGGAUAGUUGGGGGUGCUAGUAUUAAGGGGCCAGAGGUGAAAUUCUUGGAUUCUCUUAAGACUAACUUAUGCGAAAGCAUUCACCAAGGAUGUCUUCU
rnacentral:rRNA from 1 species